UACGGGGGGAGCAAGCGUUGUUCGGAAUUACUGGGCGUAAAGGGCGCGUAGGUGGCCAACUAAGUCAGACGUGAAAUCCCUCGGCUUAACCGGGGAACUGCGUCUGAUACUGGAUGGCUUGAGUUUGGGAGAGGGACGCGGAAUUCCAGGUGUAGCGGUGAAAUGCGUAGAUAUCUGGAGGAACACCGGUGGCGAAGGCGGCGUCCUGGACCAAUACUGACACUGAAACGCGAAAGCCAGGGGAGCAAACGGG
rnacentral:rRNA from 1 species